UACAGAGGUCUCAAGCGUUGUUCGGAUUCACUGGGCGUAAAGGGCGCGUAGGCGGUCAGCACAAGUCAGUUGUGAAAUCUCCGGGCUUAACUCGGAAAGGUCAACUGAUACUGUGCGACUAGAGUGCGGAAGGGGCAACUGGAAUUCUCGGUGUAGCGGUGAAAUGCGUAGAUAUCGAGAGGAACACCUGCGGCGAAGGCGGGUUGCUGGGCCGACACUGACGCUGAUGCGCGAAAGCCAGGGGAGCGAACGGG
rnacentral:rRNA from 1 species